rnacentral:lncRNA from 1 species
AGUCCCUCCUGGAGAUGAAGAAAGAGUUCAGUCACCCUGCUGAGGAGAGAAAAGGCCAUUAUUGUCAAAAGAAGGCACCUGUCCUAGAUUUAAGGGAGGUGCGUUAUCCUGGAUGGUUUCUAGGCCUCAGUGGGAUGGUCUGAUGACUUCGUCUCACCCCCCAGGUACCUAGGAAGGUGAUGAAUGUGAAGGUGGAUUCUUCAUGGAGCUCCACACUCAGGAUCUGACUCAAGCUAUACUCCAUAUUUAUUGGAAGCCAGUUACUAAGACCCGCUUACACUCAAAAGGAGUGGAAUCGAGACAGGGUUUCGCCAUGUUGCUAAGGCUGGUCUUGAACUCUCGGACUCAAGUGAUCCUCCUGCCUCAGCCUCCCAAAGUGCUGGGAUUACAGGACUUCUUCCUGCCACCUUGUGAAGAAGGUGCUUUGCUUCCUUUUUGCUUUCCGUCAUGAUUGUAAGUUUCCUGAGGCCUCCCCAGCCAUGCUGAACUGUGAGUCAAUUAAACCUCUUUCCUUUAUAAAUUACCCAGUCUCGGGCCGUUCUUUAUAGCAGUAUGAAAAUGGACUAAUACAGCUUGUGUGAUAAUUUCACUGGAUGAUGUGAAGGCUUUUUUGAAAAUGUUCAAGGCUCUGCCCAAAUAUGUGAUGGUGGAAUUUAUUAUGAUAUGCAAAUGAUACUUAUAAUAGUGAUGUGAUUUUAUUUAUUUAUUUAUUUUUUUUGAGACAGGGUCUCACUCUGUCUCUCAGGAUGGAGUGCAGUGGUGCGAUCACAGCUCACUGCAGUCUCAACCUCCUGGGCUCAAUUGAUCCUCCCACCUCAGCCUCUUGAGCAACUGGGACUACAGGCAUGCACCAACACACCCGGCUAUUUUUUUUUUUUUUUUUGUAUUUUUUGUAGUGACUGGGUCCAUGUUGACCAGGCUGGUCUUGAAUUCAUGGGCUCAGGUGAUCCUCCUGUCUUAGCCUCCCAAAGUGCUGGGAUUACAGAUGUGAGCCACUGCACGUGGCCAGUGAUGUGACUUUGAGCAAAUAAUUUUUUAUUCUUCUAGGUCUAAUAAGGUUUUAUCCAUUAGACAGAUAAUAAUAACCAACCUCAUUAAUAGCUGAUAUCCUUUCAGAUGAACUAUUGAAAUCACUCUGCCUGGAUUAAAUGUAGUCCUCAACCAUGGCAAAAUUCAAAGUAUGACCUGCUUAACCUGACUGCUAAAUCCUCCCCUGACCCCCACCACAGUUUCCCCUCUGCUAACACCUUACAUCGCCAUGGUACUUUUGUCUAAACUCAGAGAUGGGAACUGGCGCAUUGCUUGUAACUAACCUCCAGAGUUUAUAUGGCUUUCACUUUUCCAAUCAUGUUCUGUUUCUGUUUUACGAUCCAAUCCAGGGUGCCACACUGCAUUUUGUUGGCAUGAAUCCUCAGUCAUUUCUUGUCUGUGACAGUUUUUCAUUAUUUUUUAUAGCUUUUUUUUUUUUUGAGAUGGUGUCUUGUUCUGUCACCCAGGCUGGAGUGCAGUGGUGUGAUCUCGGCUCGCUGCAACCUCCGCCUCCCGGGUUCAAGCAAUUCUCCUGCCUUGGCCUCCUGAGUAGCUGGGAUUACAGGCAUGCAUCACCAUGCAUGGCUAAUUUUUAUAUAUUUUUUUAGUAGAGACAGGGUUUUGCCAUGUUGGCCAGGCUAGUCUUGAACUCCUGACCUCAGGUGAUCUGCCUGCUUUGGCCUCCCAAAGUGCUGGGAUUACAGGCAUGAGCCACCGCGCCCGGCCUACGUUUUAUGGCUUUGAUGGUCGAGAUGUGCUGGCCAGGUAUCCUGUAGAAAGUUCCCCGAUCUGGGUUUGCUGGAUGCCUUCUCCAGAUUAUGCUGGAGCAGUUUGUUUUUGUGUGUGUUAUCCAGACUAAUCUCCUCUUGGAAUAAUUUUGCCUAUAUAAAUGUGACCCGCCGGGCGUGGUGGAUCACACCUGUAUCCCAGCACUUUGGGAGGCUGAGGCAGGUUAAUUGCCUGGACUCAGGAGUUCGAGACCAGCCUGGGCAACAUGGCAAAACCCCGUCUCUAAGAAAAUACAAAAAAUUAGCUGGGCGCGGUGGCGCACACCUGUAGUCCCAGCUACUUGGGGGGCUGAGGUGGAGGAUGGCUUGACUCUGGGAGUUUGAGGCUGCAGUGAGCUGAGAUCAUGCCACUGCACUUCAGCCUGAGUGACAGAGUAAGACCCUGUCUCUAAAAAAAUAAGAUAAAAUAAAAGAAAUGUGACCCUAGAGUUGUGUGUGAGUGAGAGAGAGAGAGAGAGAGAGAGAGUGUGUGUGUGUGUGUGUGUGUGUGUGUGUGUAUAAGAGGCAGGGUCUGUCUCUGUCCCCAGGCUGGAGUACAGUGGUGCAAUCAUAGCUCACUGCAACCUUGAUCUCGUGGUAUCAAGCAAUCCUCCUGCCUCAGCCUCCCGAGUAGCUAGGACUACAGGUGUGCACCACCACUGCUAGAUAAUUCUUUUUUUUUCUAGACGUGUGGUUUCACUAUGUUGUGCAGGCUGAAACUCCUGGCUUCGAGUGAUCCUCCUGCCUCAGCCUUCCAAAGUGCUGGGAUUACAGGCAUGAUAUACCAGGCCUAGCCCCUAGAGGUAUUAAAUGGGGGUAUUAACUUGUCUUUUUAUUCUUCAUUUAAAUGAUUGCAAAUGCUAUCCAAUCUACUCCCGAGAGGCCCCUCAGGGAGUUAGUUUCCAUUUUACAGAUGAGGCAGCCGGACCCUUCUGCAUGGCAGAGAGGACAUUCCAACCCAGAUGCCAGUGCCAGAGGCUGCCCAUAGCUCCGCUACUGUUGAGCUGCUAACAAAUUGGUUUGUCCAAGGGCAUGUUCAACUGUAACCCUCCGUUCCCCUUUGGAGAAACUUCACUAUCACCUAAUUAGGUAACAUGGUAACUGGGCAACCAUUACUUAUAAUAGACGUGGAGUUGUAAAUUAUUCUAUUUAAUUAAGAACUGCACAUUUCCUAUUAAAGGAAAGCUUAUCAUAGGUUAGUAAAUUUAUUGGGAACACUUAACUUUAGCUAAUUAAGCUGUUUGAACUCAAGGCGAGGGCAUUCAUUAAUAACCAAGCCCAAGCAGUUAAGGGCAAUUAGUGAAACAGCUGGUCUUUAUCUCACUGUUAAAGGAUGGUUAAUAGAGAUCUUUGCAGCUCUUAUAAACCUCCCCAAAGCAAUAUCUUCUUCAAAAGUUUGCAUUGGUAAAGAAAAUAGAAGAGGAAACUAAACAUAAAAGAAUGGAGUGUCGGAAGCAGUCUGGAUCUCUAGGCUCAUGAUGAUGCCAGAAAAAAAUGAAAUCCAGAGGCAUUUCCUAGUGGUCCUCAUCUUUCCUAGUGGUCUGCAUUUACCUGGGAGAGUUUGACCUCGAAGUCAGCAGUAGAUGUGUUUUAGCUCCCCCCUGGAAUCUUGGCUGCCCCAGGAGCAUGGGGCCAGGGAUGGGUCCUUUAUAUAUGCAGAGAUUAUAUGUCCUGAAAGAAAAAUGCAGGAAUGGUAACCUCUCAUUCAGAAAUGCAGCCAGGUAGCCUUAGACAAAAUGCUUUUUUUGGAUCUGCAAACGUCUCUAUGUAGAAAGUCUCACAGAGUCCUCAUAUGUCUUAUUCAGU